rnacentral:lncRNA from 1 species
GCUUUGUUUACCCAAGCAAGCCUGGGCAAUGGCGGGCGCCCCUCCCCCAGCCUUGCUGCGGCCUUGCAGUUUGAUCUCAGACUGCUGUGCUAGCAAUCAGCGAGACUCCGUGGGCGUAGGACCCUCCUAGCCAGGUGCAAGAUAUAAUCUCGCGGUGCGCCGUUUUUUAAGCCGGUCCGAAAGCGCAAUAUUCGGGUGGGAGAGACCCGAUUUUCCAGUGAGAUGAACCCAGUACCUCAGAUGGAAAUGCAGAAAUCACCCGUCUUCUGCGUCGCUCACGCUGGGAGCUGUAGACCGGAGCUGUUGCUAUUCGGCCAUCUUGGCUCCUCUCCUGCACUGCAAGAAUGGACUAAUACGCUAUGUGAAGACAAAGGGGAUGUCUGCAAGCCAGGACGAGUGCGUCUACCAGAAACUGAGUUCUGCUGGACUUUGAUCUAGGACAUCCAGCCUCCAGAAUGGAAUGUGCCAUAUGUGGAGACCUGCAUGGAAAGGAACUGAGGAUGCUCUCUCACUAAAAGCUAGAAGGAACUGAGGCCCUCAGUCAACAGUCUACAAGACACUGAAUCUUGCCAGCAGCCAAGCAGUGAGCUUGAAAGCAGAUCUAUCAUCAGCUGAACCUUCAGAUGAGACCGCAGCCUAAGCAGAUACCUUGGUUGCAGCCAUGUGAGACAACCUGAAACAGAGGGCACAGCUAAGCCUCAGCCAGGUUCAUGACCCUCUGAGGAAACUGUGAGAAAGCAAAUGUCAUUUUAAGCUAUUUAAUUUUGGAGGUAGUUUAUUACACAACAAUAAAUAACUAUUAUAAUUAUCUUGAGGAUUUAUUUCCUGGGGAGAAUACAUGGAAUUGCAUAUAUAGGUCCUCAUAUGCAGAAUACUGGUACCCUAGAGAUGUUCACCCCAGAGAUGUUUUAGGAACCUGUGAAUAUGUUACAUUAAAUGGCAAAGUUUUCCUGGAUGGUUUAAGUUUAAGAUGGAAAAGUUUUACUGGAUUAUCCAGUGGGUCCAAUCUAGUAACAUGAGUCCUUAAAAAUGGAGAAUAUUUUUUGGCCAUGAUCAGAGAGACAUGUGAUGAUGGAAAAAGUGUCAGAGAUGCAAUGUGAGGGGACUAAAACUGCUGUUGCUGACUUUAAAGAUGGAGAGAGGGGAACCCGAGUCAAGGAAUGCAAAUGGCCUCUGGAAGCUGGAAAAAGCAAGAAAUGGAUUCUCCUUUAGAGCCUGUGGAAUAAAAUGCAGUCAUGCUGACACCUUGAUUUUACCUCAGUGAGACCAAUACUGGAGUAUGACCUUCGGAGCUCGCAAAGGCCACAUAAGGACAGUGAGAAGGCAGCCACCUGCAAGCCAGGAAGAAAGGUCUCACCAGAUACCAACCCUGCCAGCAUGUUGAUCUUGGACUUCCAGCCUCCAAAACUGGCCUUCUGCUCACAUGGGCUUCCGUGCACCUGCUUCAGGAGACAGCAACACUUGCGCCCGCACCGCGGCAGGCUCCCAUCACCUGGUGGAUAUGCCGCGCCGAGUCUCAUCACACCUUAGUGAAGGAACACAUGGACCCAUAUGUUAGCGGAUGUAUUUACAUCGUUUUAUACAGAAAGGGGAAGAAAACUGCAUACCUCAGAAAGGGGUUGCUCCUCACUCUGAGUACUAGACUAAAGAUAAAAAGACUAGAUAAAAGUACUAGACUAAAGACAGAGCUGACCCAUGACAG